rnacentral:rRNA from 1 species
AGCGAACGUUAGCGGCGGGCCUAACACAUGCAAGUCGAGCGAGAAAGUGGCUUCGGCCAUCAGUAAAGCGGCGGACGGGUGAGUAACACGUAGGUAAUCUUCCCUUGAGCGGGGGACAACGAGCCGAAAGGCUCGCUAAUACCGCAUAAGUUCCAGAGGACCCCGGUCUUUUGGAGGAAAGCUAGGUAGCAAUAUCCGGCACUCGAGGAGGAGCCUGCGUCGCAUCAGCUAGNGGUGGGGUAACGGCCUACCAAGGCGAAGACGCGUAGCUGGUCUGAGAGGAUGAUCAGCCACACUGGGACUGAGACACGGCCCAGACUCCUACGGGAGGCAGCAGUGGGGAAUAUUGGACAAUGGGCGCAAGCCUGAUCCAGCCACGCCGCGUGAGUGAUGAAGGCC